rnacentral:tRNA from 1 species
GGGCUGGUCGCAUAGUGGCCUAGUGCGAGCGAUUGCUAAUCGCUUGAGGGUUAAUAGCCUUCCGAGAGUUCGAAUCUCUCCCUCUCCGCCC